rnacentral:lncRNA from 1 species
GUUUUCCAUCAAUAACGUGGUCACCUUCUCUCCUUCUCCCUUCAUCAUUCUUCCUCCUUCCUUCUUGUGCGUGCGCGUGUUCGUGAGUGAGAGAGAGAGAGAGAGAGAUGGCGGAAGAGGGCCAGGUGAUCAGUUGCCACAGCGCCGAGUCGUGGAGCGAGCAGAUCGCCAAGAGCAACGAAUCCGACAAGCUGGUGAGAAAUUUUCGGAUCCUUUUCAUGCGUUCUGCACAUGAAUCUGGCGUUGUCGAUGCGAUAUGCUGUCAUCUAGUUCGCUUCCGUUUGUGCAAGUAGUCGUAGCAAAUGGGCAUGGCGUUCGACGAAAUGCAAUCUCGAGCCGGCUUCCGAGGCGAUGGUUUGUCUUUGAUACUUCUGGAUCGGCCGCGCAUUCGUUUGCGGUCCUUUUUUUUUUUUUUUUUUUACUUUUUGGCCCCGGCCGGGACGAACGAAACCUAAUCGGUGGAACGGAGAAAAAGAAAAAAAACAUCAGAAUUCAGAAAGAGGCACGUUGAUCUGAGCAAUGACGCUGACAGGGAAGAGAAGCAAUGCUUUUCAAGGAGAUUAUCAUCAACUUUCAUCGUUCAGACUUAGUGUUGUUCGAUAAGACUUUUUUUUUCGUUUUUUUUUCCCGAAAUCAUAUGUGAUGGGAACGGGAUCUGGAGGCGACGGCUGCGGGUUGGAAGGUGGCGGGCCGGCUGUGGCGGGAAUGGGGUGGCGAUGGUGGCGGCGGCGGGGAUGGAGGAGGAUGGCUGGCUCGAGGCCGAGGAAGAGAGAGAGAGCGCAGAGAUCGUGCGGGUUCGGCUGUCCUUGCUUAUUAGGGUUUUUAUGUGCUUAGCUGUAAAUUGACAGGCAGUGCGUUAAAGUGUGAAUGGCUUGCCGCGUCGGCUACAUAACCUCCUCCCGAAUAUGAUUCACUUGUUUGAAAUGCCACAAACAGUCUGUCGCAACACUUAGUAUGCCGAAGUUGUGAAUAGGGGUUGAUGGCAUUUUACCUGAGUUUAUAAUGCGGCGCCAUGUCUGGCCAACUCGCUGAGCAUAGGACGGGAAGAAUACUCGGUACAUAGUUCCCCGUUGUUGAUUAGGUUGCUUGGUUGAUCGUUCUCCUUUUGGACUAUCUUAAGUUUUGCUUGUAACCCAAGUAAAUCUCGCAAGAAAAGUGAUUCUUUUCGCUAAAUAGAAUCAUACUUAAGUCAUCUUUUUACUCUCGUGUGAAAUCAAGGGGGAGAAAUUUGUUCAUAUCACUCUCCUUUUCUUUUGAAUUCUAUUUUCUCAUGAAGAAAGUACAUGCAUUGCUUCUCUACUAGUACUAAAGAGGAGCUGGCUGAGUCAUAGUUUAUGACUAGUGUUGUUGUAUGGCUUUCGAAGGUAAAUACUCUGAUUUUUUAUGGCAAUAUCAGCAGUCUGCCAGUGAAUUCUUAAUAGCAGGUGAUUUUGUUUGGGUUAUUAUAUUUCUUUCAGUAUAAUUUGGUGGAAGAAUGAGCAAAUGGGUCAGUGUGGCUGAUUAAGCUCUUUGUGUUCAUGAGCUAUUGAACUGCCAAUUAACAAUUUCCAGGAUGUUUCUGCUGUAGCGUCUCAUUUUAUAACGCCACUAGUUUCGGUGAUGAAUUGGUCAGAAUUGAAAUGCAUAUGAUGAUCACCGAGUUUGUUUGUUUCUUUUUUGUUUGAAACAGGUGGUUGUCGAUUUCACUGCUUCAUGGUGCGGACCAUGCCGUUUCAUUGCACCAUUCCUAGCUGAGCUGGCCAAGAAAUUCCCUAAUGUUCUGUUUCUGAAAGUUGAUGUUGAUGAGCUGAAGGUAAAAUAAUCCGAGGACUACAUUUCCAGGGCUAUAUGAAUGAUGGAAAUUUGUCUUAAUAGAUGACAGCCUAGCUGUCUAAGUUCUGCUCUGCAAGUAUUGUUGAACUCGUGAAGGAAUGACUUUCCAUUCUUUUGCAGACGGUCGCUCAAGAGUGGGCCGUGGAGGCGAUGCCGACUUUCAUGUUUGUGAAGGGAGGAAAGAUUGUUGACAGGGUGGUAGGAGCCCAGAAGGAUCAGCUGCAGAUGACUUUAGCUAAGCACAUGGCAACCGCUUCGGCUUAAUCAUUAUAUAAAUGCUAUCAACCAAGCUACAUACAGUCUCUCUUUCUUUCUUUUAAGGAGUUGCAUGCAGUGUCCCUUUGAUGUUAUGAGAUUGCUUUGAAUCUGGUUUUCAGUAGACAUGCCUGUCUACAUUCACCGCGUCGAAUGUCUCACAGCACCUUACGUCCAUCUCUGUAGAAUUGUGAUUCCCAAGCAAAAAUAACACAUAUCAUGCUACUUUGGGAGUAUUUAGGAUGAGGAAAUAAUGUAUGGCAAGUCUCAUGCAGAUAGUGUUAUAACCGUAGAUGGUGAUUCUACGUAAUAUUGCUGCAUUAUCUGGGAUGAGGUUUGAUAGGACCUGAAUGAGUUCUAAAGACAC